UGUAAGUAUUUUCAUUUCUCAUCUUGUAAGCAUCAUAUUAUUCUUGUAUUACUGUGGAAUUCCACAGUACAUAUGAGAAAAUUUCUUGCAUUCUUUUGUAGGAUAUCUUGCAUUGUUUAUUCCCAAUCAAUUUAUUCAACAUGGCAUAUUUCCAGCCAAAGACUUGAUGGUUCACUUGUUCAGAGGAAUAAUGUUUUCAGAGGAUUAAAUUGCCUCAAUGUUGGUGCUGGUAAUAACAGAUUUGAUGUGUUGAUCUUGGAAUCUGCCUCAUGUUUAAAAGAUUCUCACAAUGCAAAGUUUGUAUCUUUUAAUGAGCAAUUCGGACUAGGCUAUGCUUGAUAAAAAAAAAUGAACUCCCAAUAUUUGUUUUAUUUUUUCACAAACAAUGCCUCAAGCUGUCUCUGAGGCAAAAUGUAUGUCAUGUUGUCUUUGAUAUCCUGUCAAAGAGAAAAUGGCCAUAUAGGAAUCUUUAGUUUAUAGCAGUGUUUUCAAAAGGCAUUCACCUAGGCGAGGCUUGAAUGCCUUGUAAUUGGGUC
rnacentral:lncRNA from 1 species